UAUGAAUGUCUGUGUGGUCCUCUCUCUCCAAUCAAAACGUGUGUAGCUUCUCGCGCCAAGCUCCGAUCGAAUCAACCUCCGAUUCUUACUCACACGUUUCAUCUUCACAACCUCAGAACAUUUCCGCAACUAUGCGCAUCGUCGCACCCAAUUUUUUCCCAAUCACCUGUUUCGUACUCAGCGUCGCUGCCCAAAGUCGAACAACUGAUCACGAUAACACAUAAAGAGAGACUCGGAAAUUAUCAACUACGAAACCCAAAAAGGAAACCUGACGGUUGAGUGUAUCAUAUCAUCUCAUUUUUCUUUCAAUCCAACGGCAGAUAUUCAACGGCCAUUGUGCCCUUCACGGUGCUUCUCUUCCUUCGCAGAGUCUAACGUAUAAAUAAACAUACUUUGAUUUUCUGGUUAUGUAGGGUUUUCUGGAAGGGAUCAUGUCAUCGAUGAUUGAAACUCUAAGGCCAAUAACGCACGCGAAAUUUCAGGCUAAUUCCACCUGUAACAUUCACUCUUCCCAUGGUUUAUGCUUUUUUCGUUACCGGUCUAGGGUUUUUCUCCACCACUUUUCGCACCGUUCUAUUCCUCAUCCGGCGUCGUUCCCUCCGGUAGUUUCUUGCAAAGCUCUUCUGCAAGGAGGUGGAGAAAGGUUGAGUGUUUGGGGAAGCGGUUUUUUAAGGAACCAGAAGAUAAGAGAGUCUAGAAUUUUGGCUAACGGUCAAGAUAGUGAUUCUACUGCAAGUUCUAGCGAGAAACGGAGCGAGAGCGAAGGCCAGAAAGUGAGUAAUAAUCCGCCGAAUUCAGGGCCCAAGCAGAGGAGAGAGAAACAAGGAAAGAGUCAAUGGUGGUGGUCGAAGAAACAGAGCUGGAAAUGGCAACCGUUGAUUCAGGCGCAGGAAAUUAGUGUCUUGCUUUUGCAAUUAGGAAUAGUUAUGUUCGUCAUGCGGUUGCUCCGCCCUGGGAUCCCUUUACCUGGGUCUGAACCGAGGCAACCGACGACUUUUAUAAGUGUGCCCUACAGUGAGUUUUUGAGCAAGAUUAAUACUAAUCAAGUGCAGAAAGUGGAGGUGGAUGGGGUGCAUAUCAUGUUCAAAUUGAAAAACGAAGGGAGUACGAAUUAUGAGAGUGGCGAAGCGGUCAAUACUAAGUUUCAGGAGUCGGAAUCUUUGUUGAGGAGUAUGGCACCCACUACUAAGAGGAUCGUGUUUACAACUACUAGACCGAGUGAUAUCAAGACGCCGUAUGAGAAAAUGCUAGAGAAUCAAGUGGAAUUUGGAUCCCCUGAUAAGAGGUCCGGUGGAUUCUUGAACUCUGCUCUGAUAGCUUUGUUCUAUGUGGCUGUGCUUGCAGGGCUCCUUCACCGUUUCCCUGUUAGCUUUUCUCAGCAUACAGCUGGUCAAAUCAGGAACCGAAAGUCUGGAGGUUCUGGAGGUUCUAAAGUGUCUGAGCAAGGGGAAACAAUCACUUUUGCUGAUGUUGCUGGUGUCGAUGAGGCUAAAGAAGAGCUAGAAGAGAUUGUGGAAUUUCUCAGGAAUCCAGAGAGAUAUAUAAGACUUGGUGCUCGCCCUCCUCGAGGUGUUCUUCUGGUGGGUCUUCCUGGGACUGGUAAGACUCUUCUUGCAAAGGCUGUUGCUGGAGAAGCUGAAGUGCCCUUUAUUAGUUGUUCAGCAAGUGAAUUCGUAGAGUUAUAUGUUGGCAUGGGCGCCUCCCGUGUGAGAGAUCUCUUUGCUAGAGCAAAGAAGGAAGCACCAUCAAUAAUAUUUAUUGAUGAGAUAGAUGCUGUGGCAAAAAGUCGUGAUGGAAAAUUUCGCAUUGUUAGCAAUGAUGAACGGGAGCAAACUUUGAAUCAAUUGCUCACUGAAAUGGAUGGGUUUGAUAGCAACUCUGCAGUGAUUGUUCUUGGUGCAACAAAUAGAUCAGAUGUCUUAGAUCCUGCACUUCGCCGACCUGGAAGAUUUGAUCGUGUGGUUAUGGUGGAAACACCUGAUAGGAAUGGAAGAGAAGCCAUUUUAAAAGUGCAUGCUUCCAAGAAAGAGCUUCCUCUUAGUGAGGAUGUUGACCUUAGCGAGAUUGCAUCUAUGACCACUGGUUUUACUGGGGCCGAUCUUGCAAAUCUAGUAAAUGAAGCUGCUUUGUUGGCUGGAAGGAAAAACAAAUUAGUAGUAGAGAAAAUUGAUUUCAUUCAGGCUGUGGAGCGGUCAAUAGCUGGCAUAGAAAAAAAGACUGCCAAGUUGCAAGGAAGUGAAAAGGGUGUCGUUGCACGUCAUGAAGCUGGCCAUGCAGUAGUAGGUACUGCUGUAGCUAAUCUCCUUCCUGGACAACCACGUGUUGAGAAGUUAAGCAUAUUGCCAAGAUCAGGAGGGGCAUUGGGCUUUACUUAUACACCUCCAACAAAUGAGGAUAGAUAUUUGCUAUUUAUUGAUGAGUUACGUGGUCGCUUGGUUACUCUUCUUGGAGGUCGUGCAGCAGAAGAAGUUGUCUAUUCAGGUCGUGUCUCCACAGGUGCACUGGAUGAUAUACGACGUGCUACUGACAUGGCAUACAAGGCAGUAGCAGAAUAUGGUCUUAAUCAGACUAUAGGACCUGUGUCUCUAGCAACACUUUCUGGAGGUGGGAUGGAUGAGUCUGGAGUUGCUCCAUGGGGAAGGGAUCAGGGCCAUCUUGUUGAUCUUGUUCAAAUAGAAGUGAAAACACUGUUGCAAUCUGCCCUAGAUGUAGCACUUGCUGUCGUUCGUGCUAAUCCUACUGUAUUAGAAGGGCUUGGCGCUCAUCUUGAAGCGAAAGAGAAAGUAGAAGGUGAGGAGCUGCAACAGUGGCUAAAAUUGGUGGUUGCUCCAAAAGAGCUUUCGAUCUUUGUUAGAGGCGAGCAAGAGUCUCUUCUUCUGCAGCAGGCUGGCUUGUAAUAACUAUGUUUGUGGAUUCAGCUCCAGUAUUGAACAAAACACAAAGUUAGCUUAUAGCUUUUUAUACCAACACAACCUUGAGGUAAAUUUUUGUUCAGUUUGAUUUUUAACAACCUAAAAAUAUACGUAAGUGGGGGAAAUCUGUAGAUUUGCUUCUUGCAGAGCCUUUUCAAGCCUCUUGCCAUUUUAGUGGCACCCUUGAUUCCGCAGGAACAUCACAAUUUAUAUCGACAUGCUGUAUAUUCUUUCGUGAAAACAAUUGGUGGUGGGGGUGGGGGCAACCGAGGCAAGCAUGCGCAAGGAACGAUUGGCAAUGGAGAUCCCUCGGUAUCUCUACAGCAGAUGAUUGAUUACUUGUUGAUGACCAAAUAUGUAAGGUAAUGAGGUGUGGGUAUGAAAGAAAAUAUCAUGAAGAAUGAAGAGAGCUUGAUGACUUGACUUUGAUAUUCUUGUUAUGACACUAAAAUAUCAACGUUGCUUUCUGAAAAUGAUAAUACCUUGAGUGUGUAUGGCUAUGGCAAAAGUAUAAAAGCACUUGAAUGUAAAAUCCUUACAAGGACCACUUUCGAAGCGGCA